CAGUCGCCGCGGGAAUACGUAGGUGGCAAGCGUUGUCCGGAAUUAUUGGGCGUAAAGGGCUCGCAGGCGGUUUCUUAAGUCUGAUGUGAAAGCCCCCGGCUCAACCGGGGAGGGUCAUUGGAAACUGGGAAACUUGAGUGCAGAAGAGGAGAGUGGAAUUCCACGUGUAGCGGUGAAAUGCGUAGAGAUGUGGAGGAACACCAGUGGCGAAGGCGACUCUCUGGUCUGUAUCUGACGCUGAGGAGCGAAAGCGUGGGGAGCGAACAGGAUUAGAUACCCCCGUAGUCCCUGUCUCUUAUAC
rnacentral:rRNA from 1 species